ACUAAGAGAGGUGGAAAAAUGGACAUCCAUGAGCCUUAUACCCUUUGGCAGAGAUGCAGGGCAGUAUUGGUAUAAGAGAGAUGCGGGGCGAGUCCUCCCGCCUCUUAGU
ncrna:unclassified sequences skipping-rope RNA